rnacentral:rRNA from 1 species
GUGAGGAAUUUUGCGCAAUGGGGGCAACCCUGACGCAGCGACGCCGCGUGGAGGACGAAGUCUUUCGGGAUGUAAACUCCUGUCAGUGGGGACGAUAAUGACGGUACCCACAGAGGAAGCACCGGCUAACUCCGUGCCAGCAGCCGCGGUAAGACGGAGGGUGCAAGCGUUGUUCGGAAUUACUGGGCGUAAAGCGUACGUAGGCGGCAAGUUAAGUUCAAUGUUAAAGCCCACGGCUCAACCGAGGAGAUGCAUUGAAUACUGGCUAGCUAGAGGGUGUUAGAGGAAGACGGAAUUCCCAGUGUAGCGGUGAAAUGCGUAGAUAUUGGGAGGAACAUCGGUAGCGAAAGCGGUCUUCUGGGACACACCUGACGCUGAGGUACGAAAGCGUGGGGAGCAAACGGGAUUAGAAACACGGGUAGUCC